UGGGGCUUUGCUUAAAGCCAUGGUUAAAGCAGCAGUGAGAGUGGUUUUACCAUGGUCAACAUGGCCAAUUGUCCCAAUAUUGACAUGGGGUUUCUUCCUCUCAAAUUUCCCACGAGCGGCACGAAUUGUUAAGGAACGAGGACGGCUUACAGAAGGGGAAGAGAAGGAGAGAGGACGAAUUGAAGAAGAGUUCAAGAAAGAGGAAGAAAGGUUGGAAGAGGGUUUGGAGAAAAGGGUAGAAGAAAGGGAAGAAGAAGAAGAAGAAGACGAAGGAGAAGAAGAAGACGAAGAAGGGUGAGGGAAAACAAGCUUAGAAGAAGUGGAAACGGAAGCUAAGGAAAUGGCCGCCAUUGGAGGAAGGGAGAAAGGAACCUCAAAGAAGAGGAAGAAGAUGGGGUUUUGGAGAGUGAAGGAGAGUAGU
rnacentral:lncRNA from 1 species